rnacentral:rRNA from 1 species
CAAGGAAUUUUCCGCAAUGGGCGCAAGCCUGACGGAGCAACGCCGCGUGGGGGAUGACGGCUCUCGGGUUGUAAACCCCUUUUACGUGGGAUGACACGGACAGUACCACGUGAACAAGCCCCGGCUAACUACGUGCCAGCAGCCGCGGUAAUACGUAGGGGGCCAGCGUUGUCCGGACUUACUGGGCGUAAAGCGCGCGCAGGCGGACCUGUAUGUGCCGUGUGAAAGCGCCGGACUUACUUCGGCGAGGUCAUGGUAGACAGCAGGUCUGGAGCCUCGGAGAGGUCGGUGGAAUUCCGGGUGGAGCGGUGAAAUGCGUAGAGAUCCGGAGGAACACCAGGGGCGAAGGCGGCCGACUGGCCGAGUGCUGACGCUGAGGCGCGACGGCGUGGGGAGCAAACCGG